ACAGCAGCAGCCGCGGGAAUACGUAGGGUGCAAGCGUUAAUCGGAAUUACUGGGCGUAAAGCGUGCGCAGGCGGUUAUAUAAGACAGAUGUGAAAUCCCCGGGCUCAACCUGGGACCUGCAUUUGUGACUGUAUAGCUAGAGUACGGUAGAGGGGGAUGGAAUUCCGCGUGUAGCAGUGAAAUGCGUAGAUAUGCGGAGGAACACCGAUGGCGAAGGCAAUCCCCUGGACCUGUACUGACGCUCAUGCACGAAAGCGUGGGGAGCAAACAGGAUUAGAUACCCGAGUAGUCCCUGUCUCUUAUAC
rnacentral:rRNA from 1 species